CGACUCUCGGCAACGGAUAUCUCGGCUCACGCAUCGAUGAAGAACGUAGCAAAAUGCGAUACUUGGUGUGAAUUGCAGAAUCCCGUGAAUCAUCGAGUUUUUGAACGCAAGUUGCGCCCGAAGCCAUCCGGUUGAGGGCACGUCUGCCUGGGCGUCACG
rnacentral:rRNA from 5 species